rnacentral:rRNA from 1 species
AUGGCGUCGACGGCCGUGGCAGACGCGAACGCCGGGGGAUUCGGUGUCGGGCAGGUCCUCGACGGCUCCAACCCGGCCAUCGUCCGGCUCCGGCAGCUCGUCGACGGGCCCCAGUCCUCAGAGGGGUGGAGGCGGUGCUGGGAGCAGGGCGUGACGCCGUGGGACCUGGGCCAGCCCACGCCGGUCGUCGUCAAGCUGGUGCAGUCCGGCACCCUCCCCGCCGGCGGCGCCACCGUCCUCGUCCCCGGCUGCGGCGGGGGAUACGACGCGGUGGCCCUGUCCGGCGGCCGCCGCUCCGUGGUGGGCCUCGACGUCUGCGACGCCGUCAUCCAGAAGGCCAGUCAGCGGUCAUCGUCGUCGCCCGACGUGGCCUUCAUCACCGCCGACUUCUUCACCUGGGCGCCGCCGGAUGAUCGGCACUGUAAUGAUCAUGCAUGGAUGCAUUUCAGCCUCAAGACCAAGACUCGGGGCCACCGUACAACACGACAGUGCUCGAGUAAGCAUCACAUCCCUGCUAGUACAUUUUUCCUACUAGUAAUACAAUCCAUCACAAUGUUGAGAGACAGAAAUGCCAAUUCUUCAUCUCACUGUCUCUUGUCAAUCAUCUAUGCAUAUGCAGCUACGAGGAGGUGCUCAAACCCCUGGGUUUCUUCAUCGAAUCCUUCCUAUUAUAAUAGUAUAUCUACGAGAGGUUACAGUGGAGAGGCAUGGCAUGACAUGCAAAAUAGUAUAUCGAUGCACACAACCCUUUCUAUUAUAAUAAUUAUUUAUAAAACCAAUGUAUGGUUAUCAUGUUAG